AGAGAGAAGCGGAAGAAUCUGGGGAUUGUAAAGCUUUGCAAGUUGGCGGGUAGAUAAUCUGUCACUACCAUUUUAAAAUACAAUGAAUACAGCAAAAUCUGAUGCACUUUCACCUGUUAAUGCUUAAUUAUUCGCUCCUAAGUAUUCAAGCAUUCUCAUCAUUCAGUUUCAUGACUUUUUAUGCCAUUUUUUCUCCUCCCCCAAAUAUUCCUUUUGGGAUGCUCGUGCGCUCAUGCAUUUGAAGUCCUCAGUUUUGCAUCACUCUCUCUCGUUUCUUGCCCUUGGGGAUUUUCUUGGAAUUCAAUGGAAAAAACACAUGCAGAUGCAGAUGCAGAUGCUGGAGUUAGAAGUGAUAGAGAUUCCUUGUCAGAUCCUGCUCAUUAUCAUCGUCUACAGACACGCACGGGAAAUGAAAAAGGUGAUAAUUCCUCCUUGCUUCAGCAGUCCAGACGACCAAGUCUCGCCUCUUUGCAUAUACCAGUAAGGUCAGUAGAAGGUGCGUUACCAUCUUCUGCAAAGACAGAUGUUCUAUCCCUGUCAAGUCCAGGUUCCUCUCGUGGAGGACUGCCUCCAAGACCAAAUUCAGCUAGAGUCAAGUCUUCCAUGAGAAGUUUACUUCCUCAGAGGAGUUUAAAGGCAAAAAAUUGUUCUCCGGAUUGUGAAAGGGAAGUUCUCAUUGUUUCUGAUAUUCCAUCGUCAGAUGGAACUUUGGAUAAGCCUUCAACUUCAAGGUCCCUUUCUUUUAAUAAGGUUUUGUUCCCUUCAUCAACAAAAACAUCAAAUUCAUUACCAGUUACACCAAUUGCAAAUACAGUUGCAGAGACUGUACAGGGAAGUCAUCUAGGAAGUGAUCCUGACUUAAGUAAAAUGGAAGUCAAGCAUCACAUGACUCGGUCAUUUUCAGUUCCAGUUAAUAUCAAAACCUCUAGUUUAAAGCGAACAGGUUCUAGGGGUUUGAUCCGAGUAAUUUCAGCAAGACCACAUCCUGCAGCUGUUAAUGACCAUUCAAUUGAUAAAGCUUCAGUGCCAGAGAUUGCCAUUGAAGAUGCUACCGAGGACAUUCCUGAAGAAGAAGCAGUUUGUAGGAUUUGUUUAAUGGAGCUGGGGGAAGGUGGGGAUACCCUCAAGAUGGAGUGCAGUUGUAGAGGAGACCUUGCGCUUGCUCAUCAAGAGUGUGCAGUAAAGUGGUUUAGUAUAAAAGGAAACAAGACUUGUGAUGUUUGCAAGCAGGAUGUCCAAAACCUUCCAGUGACUCUGUUGAAAAUCCAAAGUCCUCAUCCUGCUGCUGGAUGGUCAUCAAAUAGCUCACAGCAGACAGAAGUUUCUUUUCACAGGAUCUGGCAGGAUGUACCAGUUCUUGUCUUGGUCAGCAUGCUAGCUUAUUUUUGCUUUUUAGAGCAACUUCUGGUUUCAGAUAUGGGUCCUCGUGCUCUUGCCAUCUCACUACCUUUCGCCUGCACAUUUGGCCUUGUUGCCUCUUUGCUUGCUUCAACCAUGGUUGAAAUUUUAGCUACGAAGCAUUGAAAUGAACACAGGAUGUUAACAAGUGACGUCCCACAAAUUUCAUAAAGGUAGUGAAAAUAAACUGUGCAAUUUUCCAUAUUUUACUUGAAAAUAGAAUCAACUGUCCAAGAAUAAAAAUGGCUUACAUGCAAUGGUGAUUUGAUGUACACAAGACUGUAUAAUGAGAAGGCUCCCUGCUACCACUAAACCUGUGAGAAAACUUUGAGAUUAUCAAUAUUCAAUUAAAUAUAAGAAAUGAACAGCUUUGAAUUACUAAUAAGCCUAAAGCUUUGUCUUUCUCUGUUUUCAUCGUUGGAGAGUCAGAGACUUACGAUGCUCAAAUAUACUUGAGUUUGUAGAAGAAAAGAAGCUCCAGCAGCUUCAAUGGUGGCAUACAGCAUGAAGAAGAAGAAACAGAAAAACACAGCUAGCUUUCAUGAGGAGAGUGCCUCUCCUACGCCAUAUUUCUUUUUCACUAUCCUCUCUCUCUCUCCCCCUCUCUCCCCAUGCUCUUCCCUACAUAACCAAAACACUACCACAUGCUCUCUUCCUCCAUGUCAUCUAAGUAGUACAGUAGAUUACUACUGCGAAUCUGCCCUUGAUAGGUCUGCUGCUUACUAGCAUCAUUCUUCCUAGAGUAUACGUUAAUGGGCUCUCUUGUUUUCUUCAUCCUAUAGUAGACCUUAAUGGGCCCAUUCUCAUCAGUUUUCCAGUUCUCCUUGGUGAAAAAUGGAGCCUCUGCAUGCACGGAAUCCUAGUAAUUUUUUUUUUUUGGGUGAACCUAGUAAUUGUUUUUAACGAGCAUUAAAAACAGAAACAUAUCUUUAAUGAAUUAGCUGCCCUUGUGAUUUUCGAUUAGUCCAGGAUAAAAACAUCCUACUUGCUGUUUUUGAGAUAAAAGGUAAUUGCAGUGAGAUUGACUUGAGAUAAAAGCUGAAAAUUUGUUCGCAUGCAAAAAUUAUAAGGAAAAUGCAAUUCCAAGAUUAGGUUGAGUGAUGUGGCUGAAAUUGACAUUAGAGGGAAACUUCUAAAUAUGAAGGAAUCAGCAAUCCCCCGGACAAAGGAAAUAGUAAUAAUUGGAGAAUAGAAUCUACUUUGACGAGUAACUUCCCGGGUUCUUGUGGUGGGAAAUAUUUUGCAUUUCCGUUAGUUUAUGAUGAAAAUUUGCUUUCCUUGCUUUUACUGGCACAUCCUUGUCCGAUAUUUUUAUGUUUGAUACUAUUGAAAGUUGCACCAAUUUUGUGCUGCUAUAGAUUACGUGAUGCUGAGUUAAUAAUGUGUCUCAUUAAUAUUAACACUUGUUAGCUAAUGAUGAUUACCUUCGUCUGCAAAUUUUAAAACCUCACUAUCAGUUUUAUUGGUGUUAGUGAGCAGGGAUUACAUGUGGGCCUAUGCUUGCUUCCAGUUUGCAAUUGUCAUCUUGCUGGCUCAUGUAUUUUAUACUAUACGUAAAUUAAACGUGGUUCUUUCAGUUAUGCUUUCUUCAUUUGCUGGAUUUGGGAUUGCAAUGACUGUA